rnacentral:rRNA from 1 species
GAUGAACGCUGGCGGCGUGCCUAAUACAUGCAAGUCGAGCGAACAGACGAGGAGCUUGCUCCUCUGACGUUAGCGGCGGACGGGUGAGUAACACGUGGAUAACCUACCUAUAAGACUGGGAUAACUUCGGGAAACCGGAGCUAAUACCGGAUAAUAUCUUGAACCGCAUGGUUCAAUAGUGAAAGACGGUUUUGCUGUCACUUAUAGAUGGAUCCGCGCCGCAUUAGCUAGUUGGUAAGGUAACGGCUUACCAAGGCGACGAUGCGUAGCCGACCGGAGAGGCUGGUCGGCCACCCUGGAACGGAGACACGGUCCAGGCUCCUACGGGAGGCAGCAGUAGGGAAUCUUCCGCAAUGGGCGAAAGUCUGACGGAGCAACGGCGCGUGAGUGGUGAAGGUCUUCGGAUCGUAAAACUCUGUUAUUAGGGAAGAACAAAUGUGUAAGUAACUAUGCACGUAUUGACGGUACCUAAUCAGAAAGCCACGGCUAACUACGUG